rnacentral:tRNA from 1 species
GAGGUGGUAGCGUAAUGGUAGCGCAGUAGACUCCAGGAUAAGGUAAUCUAAAGGUUAUCGGUUCAAAUCCGGUUCACCUCA